rnacentral:rRNA from 1 species
GUUGUCCCACGCUUUCGUGCCUCAGAGUCAAUGUUCGUGUAACGAGCUGCCUUCGCAAUUGGUGUUCUAUGUCAUAUCUAAGCAUUUCACCGCUACAUGACAUAUUCCGCUCAUCUCCACGGCAUUCAAGACAGAUAGUAUCAACGGCAGUUCUGGAGUUAAGCCCCAGGAUUCCACCACUGACUUACCUGCCCUCCUACGCACCCUUUAAACCCAGUGAAUCCGGAG